rnacentral:rRNA from 1 species
UACGUAGGGAGCAAGCGUUGUCCGGAAUUACUGGGCGUAAAGGGUGCGUAGGCGGCGCAGUUAGUCAGAAGUGAAAUAUCGGGGCUUAACUCCGGGACUGCUUCUGAUACUGCUGUGCUCGAGUGCAGGAGAGGUAAGUGGAAUUCCUAGUGUAGCGGUGAAAUGCGUAGAUAUUAGGAGGAACACCAGUGGCGAAGGCGACUUACUGGACUGUAACUGACGCUGAGGCACGAAAGCGUGGGUAGCAAACAGG